AUACGGAGGGGGUUAGCGUUGUUCGGAAUUACUGGGCGUAAAGCGCACGUAGACGGAUUGGAAAGUUGGGGGUGAAAUCCCAGGGCUCAACCCUGGAACUGCCUCCAAAACUAACAGUCUAGAGUUCGAGAGAGGUGAGUGGAAUUCCAAGUGUAGAGGUGAAAUUCGUAGAUAUUUGGAGGAACACCAGUGGCGAAGGCGGCUCACUGGCUCGAUACUGACGCUGAGGUGCGAAAGCGUGGGGAGCAAACAGGAUUAGAAACCCUAGUAGUCC
rnacentral:rRNA from 1 species